AACAACAACCACCGCCGCCGCUAUCAUCAUCAUCAUCAUCAUGGCGACGCUCACACGCCGCCACUCGGGGGGAAAGGCAACAUCGAACCAUCCGUCGGGCCGGCAGUCGACGAUCCCUCGUCGAGGCGAUUGAAGCUCCCGUGUCGGGGAGAUCGUUGCUCCUGCAGCUUGGAGCUCCCGAAGUGGGUCUCUAACCAGAGACCGCGAGCUCCCCGAUGUUAACUCCGCAGGCUCACGUGGUGUGAGCUCAGCGGCCGGUCCCUGGCAAAGGAAUCGCCAGCUCCGCAAUGUUAAAGUCGAUCUCCAACUCCUCGAUGUUAGACCGCAGUGCGGACGGAGAUACGAUACGGGAAAAAAUCGCUUCUCCGUCGAGAGAGACAACCAUGAGGCCUGUUGGCAGCACAACCCACCUGGGCACCAGGACCUGUUAGAACGUGUCAACAUAUGAGCAAGCAUAACAGGGUUGUGACAUGAGAGGUACUGUUAACCACUGGACUGAUAAGCAUCUGAUCCAUUCUGUUAUCUCCAACCAAAUGUCAUCACAACAGCAAUAAUAAAAUAUAAAUGAAGCCACAAGAAUAUUGAUGACAGUGUUCUUAAGAAUCCUGCCAAAAAAAUCCCUUCUGAGACAACACGCAACCAAGAGGUGUCUGGACUGCCCUGAGAUCAACUAUAGGUACAAUAGAAGAAGCGCUCCUUGGCUUAUCGGAAAGCACUAAAAGCAGUUUUACGAAAAUGACCAGAAGAUCCAAGAGCUAAUUAAAUCUAAAUACAAGGUGUUCUAGAAGUGAACUGCCCAGCAUGCCUCAAGGAAAAUGACAUUGGAUCUUAUAGAAACAUAUACAAUUAAAAAAGGACUGGACAAGCUAGAUGCAGGAAAAAUGUUCCCAAUGUUUGGGCGAGUCCAGAACCAGGGGCCACAGUCUUAGAAUAAAGGGGAGGUCGUUUAAGACUGAGGUGAGAAAAAACGUUUUCACCCAGAGUUGUGAAUUUAUGGAAUUCCCUGCCACAGAGGGCAGUGGAGGCCAAGUCACUGGAUGGAUUUAAGAGAGAGUUAGAUAGAGCUCUAGGGGUUAGUGGAGUCAAGGGAUAUGGGGAGAAGGCAGGCACGGGUUAUUGAUAGUGGACGAUCAGCCAUGAUCACAAUGAAUGGCGAUGCUGGCUCGAAGAGCCGAAUGGCCUCCUCCUGCACCUAUUUCCUAUGUUUCUAUCAUUUCCGAGGAUGUUGCCAGGACUAGAGGGUCUGAGCUAUAGGGAGAGGUAGUGUAGGCUGGGUCUCUAUUCUUUGGAGUGCAGGAGGAUGAGGGUGAUCUUAUAGAGGUGUACAAAAUCAUGAGAGGAAUAGAUCGGGUGGAUGCACACAGUCUCUUGCCCACAGUAGGGGAAUCUAGGACCAGAGGUCAUAGAUUCAAGGUGAAGGGGAAAAGACUUAAUAGGAAUCUGAGGGGUAACUUUUUCACACAAAGGGUGGUGAGUGUAUGGAACAAGCUGCCAGACUAUCCCAUCAUUUAAAAAGCAGUUAGACAUGUACAUGGAUAGGACAGGUUUGGAGGGAUAUGGACCAAGCACAGGCAGAUGGGACUAGUGUAGCUGGGACAUGUAGAUCGGUGUGGGCACGUUGGGCUGAAGGGCCUGUUUCCACACUGUAUCACUCUA